rnacentral:rRNA from 1 species
GCAAGGUUAACCGUAUAGGGGAGCCGGAGGGAAACCGAGUCUUAACCGGGCGUUAAGUUGCAGGGUAUAGACCCGAAACCCGGUGAUCUAGCCAUGGGCAGGUUGAAGGUUGGGUAACACUAACUGGAGGACCGAACCGACUAAUGUUGAAAAAUUAGCGGAUGACCUGUGGCUGGGGGUGAAAGGCCAAUCAAACCGGGAGAUAGCUGGUUCUCCCCGAAAGCUAUUUAGGUAGCGCCUCGUGAAUUCAUCUCCGGGGGUAGAGCACUGUUUCGGCUAGGGGGCCAUCCCGGCUUACCAACCCGAUGCAAACUGCGAAUACCGGAGAAUGUUAUCACGGGAGACACACGGCGGGUGCUAACGUCCGUCGUGAAGAGGGAAACAACCCAGACCGCCAGCUAAGGUCCCAAAGUCAUGGUUAAGUGGGAAACGAUGUGGGAAGGCCCAGACAGCCAGGAUGUUGGCUUAGAAGCAGCCAUCAUUUAAAGAAAGCGUAAUAGCUCACUGGUCGAGUCGGCCUGCGCGGAAGAUGUAACGGGGCUAAACCAUGCACCGAAGCUGCGGCAGCGACACUCAGGUGUUGUUGGGUAGGGGAGCGUUCUGUAAGCCUGCGAAGGUGGCCUGUGAGGGUUGCUGGAGGUAUCAGAAGUGCGAAUGCUGACAUAAGUAACGAUAAAGCGGGUGAAAAGCCCGCUCGCCGGAAGACCAAGGGUUCCUGUCCAACGUUAAUCGGGGCAGGGUGAGUCGACCCCUAAGGCGAGGCCGAAAGGCGUAGUCGAUGGGAAACGGGUUAAUAUUCCCGUACUUGGUGUUACUGCGAAGGGGGGACGGAGAAGGCUAUGUUGGCCGGGCGACGGUUGUCCCGGUUUAAGCGUGUAGGUGUGUGUUCCAGGUAAAUCCGGUUCACUUUAACACUGAGGCGUGACGACGAGGCACUACGGUGCUGAAGCAACAAAUGCCCUGCUUCCAGGAAAAGCCUCUAAGCAUCAGGUAACAUCAAAUCGUACCCCAAACCGACACAGGUGGUCAGGUAGAGAAUACCAAGGCGCUUGAGAGAACUCGGGUGAAGGAACUAGGCAAAAUGGUGCCGUAACU